AGCUCCAAUAGCGUAUAUUAAAGUUGUUGCAGUUAAAAAGCUCGUAGUUGGACUUUUGGGUGUUGGAGAGCUGGUCUCGUCAAACAGACUGGUUAGCCAUGCCCUUUUCCAGCGGGUUCGCCCGCUAGGUUACUGUGAAGAAAUUAGAGUGUUCAAAGCAGGCGAAAGCUUGAAUACAUCAGCAUGGAAUAACAAGUUACGGCUUGUUGGUUGGCAAGUAUCCUUUUUUAAUAGGAACAGUUGGGGGCAUUGGUAUUUAGCAGUCAGAGGUGAAAUUCUUGGAUUUGCUAAAGACCAACUAGUGCGAAAGCAUCUGCCAAGGAUGUUUUCA
rnacentral:rRNA from 1 species